AUUUGAACGGCUACACCCAAAAUUAUAUCUUAAUCCAACAUCGAGGUCGCAAUCUUUUUUAUCGAUAUGAACUCUCCAAAAAAAUUACGCUGUUAUCCCUAAAGUAACUUAAAUUUUUAAUCAUUAUUAAUGGAUCAAUUAUUCAUAAAUUAAUGGUUUUUAAAAUUAAAAGUUUUUUAAAUUUUAAUAUCACCCCAAUAAAAUAUUUUAAUUUAUUAUAAUAAAAAUAAUCUUUAUAAUUAAAAUAAACAAAAUAUAAAGAUUUAUAGGGUCUUCUCGUCUUUUAAAUUUAUUUUAGCUUUUUGACUAAAAAAUAAAAUUCUAUAAAAAAUUUAAAUGAAACAGUUAAUAUUUCGUCCAACCAUUCAUUCCAGCCUUCAAUUAAAAGACUAAUGAUUAUGCUACCUUUGCACAGUUAGAAUACUGCGGCCAUUUAAAAUUUUCAGUGGGCAGGUUAGACUUUAAAUUUAAUUCAAAAAGAC
rnacentral:rRNA from 1 species